AGAGUUUGAUCCUGGCUCAGGACGAACGCUGGCGGCGCGCCUAACACAUGCAAGUCGAACGGAGCUUAGAGAGCUUGCUUUUUAAGCUUAGUGGCGAACGGGUGAGUAACGCGUGAGUAACCUGCCCUAGAGUGGGGGACAACAGUUGGAAACGACUGCUAAUACCGCAUAAGCCCACGGUACCGCAUGGUACUGAGGGAAAAGGAUUUAUUCGCUUUAGGAUGGACUCGCGUCCAAUUAGCUAGUUGGUGAGGUAACGGCCCACCAAGGCGACGAUUGGUAGCCGGACUGAGAGGUUGAACGGCCACAUUGGGACUGAGACACGGCCCAGACUCCUACGGGAGGCAGCAGUGGGGAAUAUUGCACAAUGGGGGAAACCCUGAUGCAGCGACGCCGCGUGGAGGAAGAAGGUUUUCGGAUUGUAAACUCCUGUCGUUAGGGACGAUAAUGACGGUACCUAACAAGAAAGCACCGGCUAACUACGUGCCAGCAGCCGCGGUAAAACGUAGGGUGCAAGCGUUGUCCGGAAUUACUGGGUGUAAAGGGAGCGCAGGCGGGAAGACAAGUUGGAAGUGAAAACCAUGGGCUCAACCCAUGAAUUGCUUUCAAAACUGUUUUUCUUGAGUAGUGCAGAGGUAGAUGGAAUUCCCGGUGUAGCGGUGGAAUGCGUAGAUAUCGGGAGGAACACCAGUGGCGAAGGCGGCCUACUGGGCACCAACUGACGCUGAGGCUCGAAAGCAUGGGUAGCAAACAGGAUUAGAUACCCUGGUAGUCCAUGCCGUAAACGAUGAUUACUAGGUGU
rnacentral:rRNA from 1 species